UACGGGGGGGGGCAAGCGUUGUUCGGAAUUAUUGGGCGUAAAGCGCACGUAGGCGGUUUGUUAAGUCGGAUGUGAAAUCCCUCGGCUCAACUGAGGAAGUGCAUCCGAAACUGGCAGGCUUGAGUACUAAAGAGGGUCGCGGAAUUCCCGGUGUAGAGGUGAAAUUCGUAGAUAUCGGGAGGAACACCAGUGGCGAAGGCGGAGACCUGGGCCGAUACUGACGCUGAGGUGCGAAAGCGUGGGGAGCAAACAGG
rnacentral:rRNA from 1 species